UACGAAGGGGGCUAGCGUUGCUCGGAAUUACUGGGCGUAAAGGGAGCGUAGGCGGACAUUUAAGUCAGGGGUGAAAUCCCAGAGCUCAACUCUGGAACUGCCUUUGAUACUGGGUGUCUUGAGUGUGAGAGAGGUAUGUGGAACUCCGAGUGUAGAGGUGAAAUUCGUAGAUAUUCGGAAGAACACCAGUGGCGAAGGCGACAUACUGGCUCAUUACUGACGCUGAGGCUCGAAAGCGUGGGGAGCGAACAGG
rnacentral:rRNA from 1 species